UACAGAGGCCCCAAGCAUUAUCCGGAAUCACUGGGCGUAAAGGGUGUCUAGGCGGCCUUCUUAGUCUUCUGUAAAAUCCGUGGGCUUAACCUACGGUCCGCAGAAGAAACGGGAAGGCUCGAGGGCGCGAGAGGUGCACGGAACUCAUGGUGGAGGGGUGAAAUCCGUUGAUAUCAUGGGGAACACCAAAGGCGAAGGCAGUGCACUGGCGCGUUCCUGACGCU
rnacentral:rRNA from 1 species